CUGUCCUGAUACCAGCUUGAAAAAGAAAGGAGACUGAAAAAAGGAGCAGCAAGGAGCCCAGGGACAUGUCUCUGCUCUAUGAAACUCUCUGCAGAUAUGUUACAAACAGUCAUGCUCUGUCUACUUUCUGUUUGUUUGGGUUGAUUUUCUCUCUCUUCUCCCUCACUCUGAGGCAGGCAUAGUGACCUCAUUGGGACUCUUCAGGAGAAUAAGAAGAAUAAUAUUUCGUUCUGGGAAGAGGUAAAAGUCUCUGUGAGGAGAGGAUGGGACAAGUGGACCUCUGCAUUGCGGCUGGUGGGUCCUUCUGGUGACGGCCAAUUUUGUGCUGCAGGACAAAGCGAACAUACACACGUGGGCAGGUGCAGUGACAUCGUCGGUCUCGGGCAAUCCCUGGGGACACAUUCCAGGAAGCUGGACCUGCCACCCUUUCCUUCCAGUAGUGCUGGUCCCUCUCCCAGGCCUGCAAACCUGCAAAUGGGUUCAGAUAAUCUCUCACAGCUGUGGAGCUCAUGCAACCCAAAUCAUUUUUCUUUUUCUUUUCCUCUCUACGUGAGCUUGCUCCCUGCCUCCCCAAAUCACUGCAGCCACCCAGCUGAGGGGAUAUUGCUCUUUCAC
rnacentral:lncRNA from 1 species